ACUGCAAAUACUAAGAUACCAGAUAAGUUUGACAGUAUUAAUCAUGUUAGAUGCAAUGUAUUAAUACAAUACAAUUAUCAAGUAUUCAGCAUCCAACGUAUAUCUUUUUUUAUACUGUAAUUUUUUUCUUUGGUAAAAGCCAUCAAACUAUAGAAAAUUUACAAUGAAAGAAGAAUCUACGUACGUGUUAACAGCAAUCAUUAAAUAAAAGUAUUAGAAUUGAA